UACGUAGGGUCCGAGCGUUGUCCGGAAUUACUGGGCGUAAAGAGCUCGUAGGUGGUUUGUCGCGUUGUUCGUGAAAACUCACAGCUCAACUGUGGGCGUGCGGUCGAUACGGGCAGACUGGAGUACUGCAGGGGAGACUGGAAUUCCUGGUGUAGCGGUGGAAUGCGCAGAUAUCAGGAGGAACACCGGUGGCGAAGGCGGGUCUCUGGGCAGUAACUGACGCUGAGGAGCGAAAGCGUGGGGAGCGAACAGG
rnacentral:rRNA from 1 species